rnacentral:rRNA from 1 species
CGGUAAUACGUAGGGCGCAAGCGUUGUCCGGAAUUAUUGGGCGUAAAGAGCUCGUAGGCGGCUUGUCGCGUCGGUUGUGAAAGCCCGGGGCUUAACCCCGGGUCUGCAGUCGAUACGGGCAGGCUAGAGUUCGGUAGGGGAGAUCGGAAUUCCUGGUGUAGCGGUGAAAUGCGCAGAUAUCAGGAGGAACACCGGUGGCGAAGGCGGAUCUCUGGGCCGAUACUGACGCUGAGGAGCGAAAGCGUGGGGAGCGAACAGGAUUAGAUACCCUGGUAGUCCACGCCGUAAACGGUGGGAACUAGGUGUUGGCGACAUUCCACGUCGUCGGUGCCGCAGCUAACGCAUUAAGUUCCCCGCCUGGGGAGUACGGCCGCAAGGCUAAAACUCAAAGGAAUUGACGGGGGCCCGCACAAGCAGCGGAGCAUGUGGCUUAAUUCGACGCAACGCGAAGAACCUUACCAAGGCUUGACAUACACCGGAAACGGCCAGAGAUGGUCGCCCCCUUGUGGUCGGUGUACAGGUGGUGCAUGGCUGUCGUCAGCUCGUGUCUGU